CUAAUACAUGCAAGUCGAGCGGACUUUAAAAGCUUGCUUUUAAAGUUAGCCGCGGACGGGUGAGUAACACGUGGGCAACCUGCCUGUAAGACUGGGAUAACUUCGGGAAACCGGAGCUAAUACCGGAUAAUCCUUUUCUACACAUGUAGAAAAGCUGAAAGACGGUUUACGCUGUCACUUACAGAUGGGCCCGCGGCGCAUUAGCUAGUUGGUGAGGUAACGGCUCACCAAGGCAACGAUGCGUAGCCGACCUGAGAGGGUGAUCGGCCACACUGGGACUGAGACACGGCCCAGACUCAUACGGGAGGCAGCAGUAGGGAAUCUUCCGCAAUGGACGAAAGUCUGACGGAGCAACGCCGCGUGAGUGAUGAAGGUUUUCGGAUCGUAAAACUCUGUUGUUAGGGAAGAACAAGUACAAGAGUAACUGCUUGUACCUUGACGGUACCUAACCAGAAAGCCACGGCUAACUACGUGCCAGCAGCCGCGGUAAUACGUAGGUGGCAAGCGUUGUCCGGAAUUAUUGGGCGUAAAGCGCGCGCAGGCGGUCCUUUAAGUCUGAUGUGAAAGCCCACGGCUCAACCCUGGAGGGUCAUUGGAAACUGGGGGACUUGAGUGCAGAAGAGAAGAGUGGAAUUCCACGUGUAGCGGUGAAAUGCGUAGAGAUGUGGAGGAACACCAGUGGCGAAGGCGACUCUUUGGUCUGUAACUGACGCUGAGGCGCGAAAGCGUGGGGAGCAAACAGGAUUAGAUACCCUGGUAGUCCACGCCGUAAACGAUGAGUGC
rnacentral:rRNA from 1 species